UUACCCCUACAUGCUAGAGAGGGUGGGGUAUAGUGACACAAAGUGUUAUCCCUUUGUGUCACUAUACCCCACCCUCUCUAGCAUGUAA
rnacentral:miRNA from 1 species